rnacentral:rRNA from 1 species
GAUGAACGCUGGCGGCGUGCCUAAUACAUGCAAGUCGAGCGAACAGACGAGGAGCUUGCUCCUCUGACGUUAGCGGCGGACGGGUGAGUAACACGUGGAUAACCUACCUAUAAGACUGGGAUAACUUCGGGAAACCGGAGCUAAUACCGGAUAAUAUAUUGAACCGCAUGGUUCAAUAGUGAAAGACGGUUUUGCUGUCACUUAUAGAUGGAUCCGCGCCGCAUUAGCUAGUUGGUAAGGUAACGGCUUACCAAGGCAACGAUGCGUAGCCGACCUGAGAGGGUGAUCGGCCACACUGGAACUGAGACACGGUCCAGACUCCUACGGGAGCAGCAGUAGGGAAUCUUCCGCAAUGGGCGAAAGCUUGACGGAGCAACGCCGCGUGAGUGAUGAAGGUCUUCGGAUCGUAAAACUCUGUUAUUAGGGAAGAACAAAUGUGUAAGUAACUAUGCACGUCUUGACGGUACCUAAUCAGAAAGCCACGGCUAACUACGUG